CGCGGCCUAUCAGCUUGUUGGUGGGGUAGUGGCCUACCAAGGCGACGACGGGUAGCCGGCCUGAGAGGGCGACCGGCCACACUGGGACUGAGACACGGCCCAGACUCCUACGGGGGGCAGCAGUGGGGAAUAUUGCGCAAUGGGCGAAAGCCUGACGCAGCGACGCCGCGUGAGGGAUGACGGCCUUCGGGUUGUAAACCUCUUUCAGCAGGGACGAAGCGCGAGUGACGGUACCUGCAGAAGAAGCACCGGCUAACUACGUGCCAGCAGCCGCGGUAAUACGUAGGGUGCGAGCGUUGUCCGGAAUUAUUGGGCGUAAAGAGCUCGUAGGCGGUUUGUCGCGUCGACUGUGAAAACCUACAGCUUAACUGUGGGCUUGCAGUCGAUACGGGCAGACUUGAGUUCGGUAGGGGAGACUGGAAUUCCUGGUGUAGCGGUGAAAUGUGCGGAUAUCAGGAGGAACACCGGUGGCGAAGGCGGGUCUCUGGGCCGAUACUGACGCUGAGGAGCGAAAGCGUGGGGAGCGAACAGGAUUAGAUACCCUGGUAGUCCACGCCGUAAACGGUGGGAACUAGGUGUGGGGGGCUUCCACGUCCUCCGUGCCGUAGCUAACGCAUUAAGUUCCCCGCCUGGGGAGUACGG
rnacentral:rRNA from 1 species